rnacentral:misc_RNA from 1 species
UUUCUUUCUUUCUUUUUUUAAUUUGCUUCAAUUUUUUUAUUAAAUUCGAGUUUAAAUAUUUACAGAUUUUUUCAUAAUAUUUUAUAUAUUUUGUGGCUCCACUAAUGUUUGAAACUACGAAAUUUAAUGGACAUUCACACAUGUGAUGACCUUAUGAGCCUAAUUGGCGAAAAUUGAGAACAUAGGAGUUUAAUUGGACCAAAAAAUUUUACAGGGGCUCAGUUGAGCCUUGGCCUUAGGGGGCUCACAAGAGCCUUGUCCUUUUUUUUUUCCCUCAUACUAGAAAGACAGAAAGGGGAAACACAUCUAUAAAAUCAGGGAUCCAAAGAAACAGAAGAUCCAAUUUCUAAAACCAUGCUUUUAAAAAAGGAAACAAAAAAGAAACCAAACAUCAAAUUUUCAUCUCAAAUAACAGAGGAAAAGUAUUAGCAGUUUACAUAAAUGAAACAAUCUAUUUGAUGAAAAAGCCUAGAAGAUCAAUCCAAGAUUUGGAUUUGAUUACUCUGCUUCAUUGUAGUAUUAUGAUUUUGUUAUCUUCUUGACUACGCUUACUGUGAAUAAGGUUAUUUCAUUAUAGAAUUUGUUAACAGGCAUUACUUUGGAGAUUGUAUUAUUAGGGUUUAAUUUUUAUUGAUUGCCUACAUUGUAGUUAGCUUGGUUCCUAUAAAAGAAGAACUGAAAUUGCAUAUCCUGCCUUUUAUUCUCUCUGUCUUCAGUCUUCUUCCUCUUGUCUUCUAUUAUUCUUUGACUCCCUUCCCUUGUCUCUCUUUCUUCUCCUCUAUCCAAUUUCCCAUCUCUUCUGAUAUUUAUUCUACAUCACACCUCAUGGUCAACCAAUUCCUAUGAAGGACAACCUUUUUCUACCAUCAUCUCUGUUUCCUAAGCUGGCACAAUAUCUUCAUAACUAUCAGCCACAGAGAACACAUUUAAUGACCUUUUAGGAUAUUUGUAUAUUCUCAUGCUAACAUGCACAGGAAGUCACCAAUUUGCACCUGGCCAAUACCUAACACAGAUCUACAAGGAAAUUUCUCUUAUAGUCUUACUACUACAGUACUACUACUAACUAAUUACUAUUGAUCAAAUCUCUAAAGAUAAGUAAUAUGAGAUGCACCACAAGAUUGAUCAAACCAACCAACGUAUGGAAUAAUAAUUAAUUAUUAUAUUCUUAAGAUGGUACAUAUCCGAACUAUCAAGCACUCAAAUAAUAAUUCAAUAAUAACAUAAGAGAAAGGUGCAACAUAUUUUUUAGAAAAAUGAAUACAAAUUCAAAGAAACAACAUGUAACCACUAAAAUAUCUGGAUGAAAAGGAAUGAAAACUUUCUAAAAAAAAAUAUAAGAAAAGCAGAAUCAGUUUGAUAACCAUCAAAUAACAAGAAACUUACCCUGACAGUAAUAUAGGAGGCUG